rnacentral:lncRNA from 1 species
AUGGCUUCCUGUGUAGCUCCGCAACUGCUGCUGAGCCACCAUGUCCCACAAGGCUGUCUGUCCCCUGCUUUACUUCUAGCCCUGCAUGCAAUAAAUCAGCUGAGGGUCCCUGGGGGAGACAGGGGAAAAAAGGGCAUGAACCCACGGACAGAUGUCAGAGCAGGACUGACAAGCCUGGGAGAAGGGGUGAUGCUGCCUGCCCUGGCAAGGUCCUUAGAGGUUGGCAAAACCGGGGUGAGAAUGGCUUUGCUCCAUGGUGCUGGCUCUGCCCAUCCCUUCCUCUCGCCAUCCAGUCCUGCAAUGUGGCUGCUGCGCUGUCCUGCUGCACCAUCCCGCUGCUCCAACACUCCGCUCCAUCCCUCUGUUCCAUCCUGCCUGACUCGGCCACUGCACCGGUCACGUCUGCUGCGGCAAGUGGCAGGUCUCGCCGAUGGCAAUGACCACGUCCUGGGGUUGGCGGUCCCGGUGCCGCGGUGCCUCAGGCAUCUCACUCAUCUCAUUGACGCUGUUGCUGAUGCAGUUGACGUCGCUCUUGUUGCUGUUGUCAUCUGGGCUGGGACCGAAGAUCCAGUCUGGAGGAGGGAAAAAUCACAAAACAAGGCCUUGGUUACCUCCAGCUGUUCCCAGAGUCAAAGCUGGCUGGGAAAUCGCUACAUCCUACCCCUCCCUCUGGAUGUUCACCCCCCAGGAGGGUCCCUUGCCCACCCCUGUCCUUUCAGCCCCCUCCACUCCCCUGGUACCACGGUCUCUGCUGUGUUCCCAGCUCUGGACUGGUUUUCAGGCCUCUGAUUUAUGGAAUCCCUCCCAGCUUAGGCAGAUGAAAUCACCCUGUUCAUCCCCAAAAUGAAAAUGAAGUGUCUCCAAAGCAAAGUGUGCAUCUGGGCUCUCUGGCAAUGUAUUUCCUACAGUGGAUUUUUGCUGUCAGAAACAGAGGGUACGAUUAAAUAACUGUGUGACAUCCAAGGGGGGCUGGAGGCAUGGGCAACAUGGCUCAUCUGCCACAGAAGUAUGUCACAGCCAUGCCAGGGCUUCAGACCCUCUCACAACCUUGGGGGUGACCGAUCCCCCUCCAAAAUACAGUGGUUGCUGCUGGAUGGUGGUGCCCUUGCAGCACAAGAGGCUGUGGCUCAGUGGAGGCAGGUGGUGCUGCUUCCCAAUUGUCUAUUUAAAAAAAAAAAAAUGUGGGUGGUGGGAGGCCAUGCCCAGCUGUAAUGGAAAGGCAUCAGCAAUGAAAAAAACAAAGCUGGGGAAACUCAGGUGAGGAGAGAGGAGCCCCUGGGGCUGGACAGAACCUGGUGGUGGUGGGUAGUGGAGCACCAAUACCCCUCUGCUUCAGCUCUGCUCCCAAAAUAAAGUGGAGACGGCUAUCA